AUCAUUUGUCAGUCAGAGAAAAGCAAAGGAUUUCAACCAAUCAGAGUAUCAAUGAAGUGAAAGACAUAUCUACAACCUAAACAAAGUCCAGAAAUCAAGAGAAACAAGCAAAGUUGUAUACAAAUCAAAACAUAAACUACCUAGAAAACAAAAAAUUUAACGUCUAGAAAAGAAAAAAUUUAACAAAGAAGUUAGAAAUCUCCCCC
rnacentral:lncRNA from 1 species